rnacentral:rRNA from 1 species
GGAAGGUAGCUUGCCACUGAACCGUUACGGCGGACGGGUGAGUAAUGCUUAGAACUCUGCCUAUUAGCUCGUGGGACAACUGUUUCGAAAGGAACGCUAAUACCAGCAUACAGUCCUACGGGAGAAAGCAGGGGAUCAUUUGACCUUGUGCUAAUAGAUGAGCCUAAGUCGGAUUAGCUAGUUGGUGGGGUAAAGUGCCUACCAAAGGCGACGAUCUGUAGACGGGUCUAGAGAGGAUAGAUCCGCACACUGGGACUGAGACACGGCCCAGACUCCUACGGGAGGCAGCAGUGGGGAAUAUUGGACAAUGGGCGCAAGCCUGAUCCAGCCAUGCCGCGUGUGUGAAGAAGGCCUUAUGGUUGUAAAGCACUUUCAAGCGAGGAGGAGGAGCUUCAGGUUAAUACCCUGGAUGCUUGGACGUUACUCGCAGAAUAAGCACCCGCUAACUCUGUGCCAGCAGCCGCGGUAAUACAGAGGGUGCAAGCGUUAAUCGGAUUUACUGGGCGUAAAAGCGUGCGUAGAGCGGCUAAUUAAGUCAAAUGUGAAAAUCCCCGAGCUUAAACUUGGGAAUUGCAUUCGAUACCUGGUUAGCUAGAGUAUGGGAGAGGAUGGUAGAAUUCCACGUUGUAGCCGGUGAACUGCGUAAAGAUCUUGGAGGGAAUACCCGAAUGGGGCGGAAAAUGCAGCCAUUCUUGGGCCCUAAUACUGAAGGCUUGACAGGUACGAAAAAGCCU